rnacentral:lncRNA from 1 species
CUCCCCCUAAUGCCAUUUCCUAUUGCACUUGUUCUCUUAUUUCCUAUUGAGGUUUCUCCUACUAUUGAGUGCUCAUAUCUAUAUUCACAAUCUCAUAUAUUAUAUUUAUACAUUCACAAUCUCACAACAUGAUAUUACAUUUGCAUUAUCCAAAUGAAUGAGUACAAGAGAACUGCUAAGAAUUUGACAUAAUAGAAGCCUAUAACAUAACACAACAAGGACUAUAACAUAGCAAAGAAAAUAUUAAACAAGGAUUAUUACAUAACACAUAAUGUUCAUGCAAAUUUUAACAGCCCAAAUGUUAAACACAAUAA